GCCCCGUUCGUCUAGAGGCCUAGGACGCAAGAUUCUCAAUCUUGUAACACGGGUUCGAAUCCCGUACGGGGUACCA
rnacentral:tRNA from 1 species